UGGGGAAUAUUGGACAAUGGGCGAAAGCCUGAUCCAGCCAUGCCGCGUGUGUGAAGAAGGUCUUCGGAUUGUAAAGCACUUUAAGUUGGGAGGAAGGGCAGUAAGCGAAUACCUUGCUGUUUUGACGUUACCGACAGAAUAAGCACCGGCUAACUCUGUGCCAGCAGCCGCGGUAAUACAGAGGGUGCAAGCGUUAAUCGGAAUUACUGGGCGUAAAGCGCGCGUAGGUGGUUCGUUAAGUUGAAUGUGAAAGCCCCGGGCUCAACCUGGGACCUGCAUCCAAAACUGGCGAGCUAGAGUAGGGCAGAGGGUGGUGGAAUUUCCUGUGUAGCGGUGAAAUGCGUAGAUAUAGGAAGGAACACCAGUGGCGAAGGCGACCACCUGGGCUCAUACUGACACUGAGGUGCGAAAGCGUGGGGAGCAAACAGG
rnacentral:rRNA from 1 species